rnacentral:rRNA from 1 species
CGUAAUGCAGACCCGAAACCGGGUGAUCUAUCCAUGUCCAGGUUGAAGUUACCGUAAAAGGUAAUGGAGGACCGAACUCAUGUCUGUUAAAAAAGGCUGGGAUGAGGUGUGGAUAGGGGAGAAAUUCCAAUCGAACCCGGAGAUAGCUGGUUCUCCUCGAAAUAGCUUUAGGGCUAGCCUUGUCUAUUGUCAACCGGAGGUAAAGCACUGAACUGGUGCGGGGGCUUAACGGCCUACCAAGCCAUAUCAAACUCAGAAUGCCGGAGUGAUGUUGAGUAGGAGUCAGACUGCGGGAGAUAAGUUCCGCGGUCAAAAGGGAAACAGCCCAGACCAACAGCUAAGGCCCCUAAGUGCGUGUUAAGUGGUAAAGGAUGUGGGAUUUCACAGACAACUAGGAUGUUGGCUUAGAAGCAGCCAUACAUUCAAAGAGUGCGUAACAGCUCACUAGUCGAGAAGUUCUGCGCCGAAGAUAACCGGGGCUAAAACACGCCGCCGAAGCUAUGGACCGCCUUGCGCGGUGGUAGAGGAGCAUCCCGUUGUAGAAUGAAGCGGAAGCGUAAGCAACCGUGGACGAAACGGAAGAGAGAAUGCUGGAAUGAGUAGCGAGAUAAAUGUGAGAAACAUUUAGGCCGAAUAUCUAAGGUUUCCUGAGUAAAGCUUAUCUGCUCAGGGUUAGUCGGGGCCUAAGGCGAGGGCGAAAGCCGUAGCCGAUGGACAACAGGUGGAAAUUCCUGUACUACGUAUGUUCAGAACUGUGGCGACACAGAAGGGUAGGAUGUCCCGGGAAUCGGAUAUACCGGGCCAAGCGUAUAGGUUUUCAUAUAGGCAAAUCCGUAUGAUUUAAGACCGAAACGUGAUGGGGAGUGAACUAUAGUAACGAAGCUUCCAAACCCAUGCUGUCAAGAAAAACCGCUAUUGUAACAUACGUACCCGUACCGCAAACCAACACAGGUAGAUGAGGAGAAAAUCCACAGGCCGACGGGAGAAGCGUUGUUAAGGAACUCGGCAAAAUGACCCCGUAACUUAGGGAGAAGGGGAACCACAGUAAUGUGGUCACAGAAAAGAGGCCCAAGCGACUGUUUAACAAAAACACAGGUCUCUGCUAAACCGAAAGGUGAUGUAUAGGGGCUGACGCCUGCCCGGUGCCGGAAGGUCAACGAAACCAAGCCCCGGUAAACGGCGGCCGUAACUAUAACGGUCCUAAGGUAGCGAAAUUCCUCGUCAGGUAAAUUCUGACCCGCACGAAAGGCGUAACGAUUUGGGCACUGUCUCAACAACGCACCCGGUGAAAUUGAAGUACCAGUGAAGAUACUGGUGACCCGCGACAGGACGGAAAGACCCCAUGGAGCUUUACUGCAGCUUAAUAUUGGGAUUAGGUCAUACAUGUACAGGAUAGGAGGGAGCCUUUGAAGCGAGGGCGUCAGCUUUCGUGGAGGCUUCGUUGGGAUACCUCCCUUGUGUGACUUGAUUUCUAACCUCCUCCCAUUAUCUGGGAGAGGGACAUUGUUAGGCAGGCAGUUUGACUGGGGCGGUCGCCUCCGAAAAUGUAACGGAGGCGCUCGAAGGUUGCCUCAGAAUGAUUGGAAACCAUUCUUAGAGUGUAAAGGCAGAAGGCAGCUUAACUGCGAGACAGACAUGUCGAGCAGAUACGAAAGUAGGACUUAGUGAUCCGGUGGUAAUAAGUGGGAAUGCCAUCGCUCAACGGACAAAAGCUACC